rnacentral:rRNA from 1 species
CUUUUCUUGAUUUUUAUUUGAAAUAUGACCUGCCCACUGAUUAAAUUGAAGGGCCGCGGUAUUUUGACCGUGCAAAGGUAGCAUAAUCAUUAGUCUCUUAAUUAGAGGCUGGAAUGAAUGGUUUGACGAGAUAAUGGCUGUCUUAUAAUUAUUUUGGUUGAAUUUAAUUAUUAAGUUAAAAAGCUUAAAUUUGAUUUUGGGACGAGAAGACCCUAUAGAGUUUAUAUAAAUAUUUAUAUAGGAGGGUUGGAUUUAUAAUUGAUAUAUAAGUAGUUAUUUGGUUGGGGUGAUUAAAAGAUAAAAUGUAACUCUUUAUUUUGUAUUUAUAUCGAUUAGUAUAUUUUUGAUCCAUUUAUAAUGAUUAUAAGAUUAAAUUACCUUAGGGAUAACAGCGUAAUUCUUUUUGAGAGUUCUUAUCAACAAUAGGGAUUGCGACCUCGAUGUUGGAUUAAGAAAAUUUUUAGGUGUAGAAGCUUAAAUUGUAGGUCUGUUCGACCUUUAAAUUCUUACA